AUGAACGCUGGCGGCGUGCCUAAUACAUGCAAGUCGAACGCAUAGCGAAAGGUGCUUGCACCUUUCAAGUGAGUGGCGAACGGGUGAGUAACACGUGGACAACCUGCCUCAAGGCUGGGGAUAACAUUUGGAAACAGAUGCUAAUACCGAAUAAAACUUAGUGUCGCAUGACACAAAGUUAAAAGGCGCUUCGGCGUCACCUAGAGAUGGAUCCGCGGUGCAUUAGUUAGUUGGUGGGGUAAAGGCCUACCAAGACAAUGAUGCAUAGCCGAGUUGAGAGGCUGAUCGGCCACAUUGGGACUGAGACACGGCCCAAACUCCUACGGGAGGCUGCAGUAGGGAAUCUUCCACAAUGGGCGAAAGCCUGAUGGAGCAACGCCGCGUGUGCGAUGAAGGCUUUCGAGUCGUAAAGCACUGUUGUAUGGGAAGAACAGCUAGAAUAGGAAAUGAUUUUAGUUUGACGGUACCAUACCAGAAAGGGACGGCUAAAUACGUG
rnacentral:rRNA from 1 species